GGGGGGGGGGGUUUAGGUUUUUUUGGGUUUAUGUUUAGGGUUUAGUAUUAGGUUUUCGGGAGAGGGGGGUUAGGUUUUUGGAGGGUGUCGGUGGGGGUGGGUUAAGUGGUUUAGGCUUUUCGUGUUAUUGCACAUGUGCAAUACAAAUUUUAUUUUAUUUUUUUGGAAAAAAAAAUUUAUAUAUAUAAACCUGCAAAAAUAAAUAAUAAAAUUGUGAAAUUUUUUUGGUAUGUUUUUUAGGCUUUUUAUUUUGUUUUUUGUUUCUCAUUUAAACUAGUUUUCUAAUGAUCCAUCCCCUAUAUAUAUGUUUAUAAUCGUAUUGAGGUUAGACAAUUGUAAGUUAAAACUUAGAAUUAAUGGGAUUUGAAAAUUGAAAGUUGAAACUUAAAUUUUCAUAGGAGCACGAGUUUUGUCACUCAUCCCAGACCCAAACCGUUUUGAGAAUUCUCGGGAACGGCCCUGAUAAUAAUAUAUCAUUUGUAAAUUGUAAUCACAUUUUACGGGUAAAGAUCAAAUACAAAUGAGUUCUAAAUAUUAAACAUGAGAAGUGAAGGAAGUUUUUUUUAUUUGACAAUUCCUUUACCACCUACUUAAGCAUGAUAUUUACUUGCAAUUUGAAAAAAAAACUUUUAUUUUACUCUAUUAGAGUAAUCAUGUGUAAUUACACUAGAGUGAUUACAUAAUUAAUAUACUAGUGU
rnacentral:lncRNA from 1 species